CUUUGGUCAAGAAUCAAGAUUUCUUUUCAUGAUCUGUCUCCUUUUAUAAUCUUUAUAAUUAUGGACAGACAUUAUGAUGCUAGUCAUUGUUGAGCAAGAUGGUGAUGAUGAUGUUUUCUUUUUUUGUGACAUGUUGAUGACUUGAGACUGCAAAAUCAGGUGCUAGAUUGAUUUAUUUUUCAUCAUGAAAGAAAAACCAUUUCACAUCUUCUUACUAAGGUGUUGGGGGCACAAAAUGUUUCCCAGCUCUACCCUAAGAUCUCCUGCUUUUGAAGGACCCAGAAAUAGAAGUUGUGUGUAGGAUUGGGUCUUUCUCUUGCAUAUCUUCGGUGGGGUAGAGGGAAGAACAGUCUGGAAAGCCUUAAAAGGUACAGGGAAAAAUUCAGCAUGGACAAACACAAAAUAGAUCCCUAAGUCUAAUGCUCAUCAUUAUGUUCAUCAUUCUCAUCAUUGCCCAUGACAAAAAGGAUGCUUUAAUUAUUAUGCCUAAUUGUGCAGAGAGAACAAUCACAAAAACAAGGAUCUGCAUUGAUGUUCCAAUGUGCUUUUAUGGAAUAAAUGAAGUCCAAGAAUCAAAAGAAAAAUGCUGAGAAACAGAUGAAGAACUCUUUGGGAAUGUGCAUACUUUUAUUGGAACCUCAUAUAAGCACCCUGAGAGAAGCAAAGAAAGAUGCUAAUUGGAGGAGAAAAUACAGGCCAAGGAGGCAUUCCUGUUCUGGGAUUCCAUGAGAGCAUUCAUUACCCUUAAGUGGCAGAGUGGGUUUCUGUACCUGCUAUCGACAGCCCUACCUACUAUAAUCCCCUCGCUUUACACUGAGUUCAGCAGACCAUAUCAUAUGGGUUAUUGCUGCGAUAUAAUCUGGUAAGACAGCCAUACUCCCUUUAGGAAUAAAAUAGUUCUAAAUGAAUAUAAUUAAUGAAGG
rnacentral:lncRNA from 1 species